UUCAAAUUUCGAUUCUGAUUUCGAUUACGGUCAUGAAUCCAAUGUUUCGGAGGAUUUGGCCAUUCCGAUUUGGAUUCCAAUCCAUUUCGAUUCGCAUUCCGAUUUCGAUUCAGGUUGCGAACCAAACACCCAAGUUUAAAGCAUAGAAACCUGAUUGAAAUCAUGCAAAGUUAAAUUUAUUUUAAUAUACAUAUUAUAUUUAAUCUUAGCUAGCACUUAUAUAAAACCACUUAAUUAGAAGUUCCCUACUCUAAAAGGGGUAAUUAAAAAUAGAUUCUAGAAUCUAUUGGAUGUCUCGAACCUACUUAUCAAUAAAACCCUAUUGUGGGUGAAUUUGAAAAGAUCUCACCAAUUUAUUAGUGUUAUAUAACUAUCCCAAGGUUAAAAACUGAGGGCUAGAUUUGUGAUCCUAAAAGAUCCUAUCCGCCUCCACUUUUCCAUUGUACAAGUCAUGCAUAAGCCGAUAAAUGUCAUCCUGCAACAGGUGCCAGUACUUCUGAUAGAAGAAAGGGAACCCAUAUGGCCCAGUCAUCUUCUAUGGAUUAAUAGCAAACAAAGCUUCCUUAAUCUCUUCCAUGAAAAAUUAUUAAGAGCGGAAAGAUGCAUUGUUAUCUCUAUGUACAAGCAAAUCCAAUCCAUGAUGAUGCAACUACCCUCUACUUUUUCAAGAAAGUUGCUGUAGAAAGAAAUUACGAUUAAACUGAUCAGCAAUAACUUAUUGGUUCUCCAAUAGGUGGCCAUCUAUUUCCAAAGCAUUUAUUGUGUUCUUCCUUGCUCCUAAAGCAUAUAUAGUGGUGGAAGAAUGAUCUGUUCCGGUCUCCUUAAAAGUACCUAACAAUUGAAGUUUCACAUUGUUGAUUAUGACCUACACCAUUAAAAGGGCCUAAAAAUUAAAAAUCCAUGUUUUAGGCUGCUCCCUGCUUAUCACAUGUGUCCACAUUAUGGAUGUCAUUUGUUCUAGUUUGCUAACAAACAUGUUAGGGAAAUCCAAAAUGAUAAGACAUAUACACAUAGAUACAUAUCCACAUGUAUGAGUAUAGAGACACAUACAUAGACACACACGCAACUAAUAAAA
rnacentral:lncRNA from 1 species